GAUGAAGAACGCAGUGAAAUGCGAUAAGUAAUGUGAAUUGCAGAAUUCAGUGAAUCAUCGAAUCUUUGAACGCACAUUGUGCCCAUUAGUAUUCUAGUGGGCAUGUCUGUUCGAGCGUCAUUAAGUCCACUUAAGCCCUGCUUAGUGUUGGGAGACUGCUCCAGCGGUGCUACCCUGUAGCUACCCUGCAGCUCCUCAAAGACAGCGGCGGAGUUGUGGUAUCCUCUGAGCUUAGUAACUUGUUCUAGCUUUCGAGUACACCACUUCCCCUGCCGUAAAACCCUUAAUUUUUAAUGGUUGACCUCGGAUCAGGUAGGAAUACCCGCUGAACUUAAGCAUAUCAAUAAGCGGAGGA
rnacentral:misc_RNA from 1 species